AAUGAACGCUGGCGGCAUGCCUAACACAUGCAAGUCGAACGAAGGCUUCGGCCUUAGUGGCGCACGGGUGCGUAACGCGUGGGAAUCUGCCCUCAGGUUCGGAAUAACAGCGAGAAAUUGCUGCUAAUACCGGAUGAUAUCGCGAGAUCAAAGAUUUAUCGCCUGAGGAUGAGCCCGCGUAGGAUUAGCUAGUUGGUGUGGGAAAGGCGCAACAAGGCGACGAUUCUUAGCUGGUCUGAGAGGAUGAUCAGCCACACUGGGACUGAGACACGGCCCAGCAUGCGACGGGAGGCAGCAGUGGGUAAGAUGGGACAAUGGGCGAAAGCCUGAUCCAGCAAUGCCGCGUGAGUGAUGAAGGCCUUAGGGGUGUAAAGCUCUUUUACACGGGAUGAUAAUGACAGUACCGGGAGAAUAAGCUCCGGCUAACUCCGUGCCAGCAGCCGCCGUAA
rnacentral:rRNA from 1 species